rnacentral:rRNA from 1 species
AACGAACGCUGGCGGCAUGCCUAACACAUGCAAGUCGAACGAAGUCUUCGGACUUAGUGGCGCACGGGUGCGUAACGCGUGGGAAUCUGCCCUUGGGUGCGGAAUAACUUCUCGAAAGGGAUGCUAAUACCGCAUAAUGUCGUAAGACCAAAGAUUUAUCGCCCAAGGAUGAGCCCGCGUAAGAUUAGCUAGUUGGUGGGGUAAAAGCCUACCAAGGCGACGAUCUUUAGCUGGUCUGAGAGGAUGAUCAGCCACACUGGGACUGAGACACGGCCCAGACUCCUACGGGAGGCAGCAGUGGGGAAUAUUGGACAAUGGGCGAAAGCCUGAUCCAGCAAUGCCGCGUGAGUGAUGAAGGCCCUAGGGUUGUAAAGCUCUUUUACCCGAGAUGAUAAUGACAGUAUCGGGAGAAUAAGCUCCGGCUAACUCCGUGCCAGCAGCCGCGGUAAU